rnacentral:rRNA from 1 species
AGUGAACGCUGGCGGUAGGCCUAACACAUGCAAGUCGAACGGCAGCACAGUAAGAGCUUGCUCUUACGGGUGGCGAGUGGCGGACGGGUGAGGAAUACAUCGGAAUCUACUUUUUCGUGGGGGAUAACGUAGGGACACUUACGCUAAUACCGCAUACGACCUACGGGUGAAAGCAGGGGAUCUUCGGACCUUGCGCGAUUGAAUGAGCCGAUGUCGGAUUAGCUAGAUGGCGGGGUAAAGGCCCACCAAGGCGACGAUACGUAGCUGGUCUGAGGGGAUGAUCAGCCACACUGGAACUGAGACACGGUCCAGACUCCUACGGGAGGCAGCAGUGGGGAAUAUUGGACAAUGGGCGCAAGCCUGAUCCAGCCAUACCGCGUGGGUGAAGAAGGCCUUCGGGUUGUAAAGCCCUUUUGUUGGGAAAGAAAAGCAGCAGGUUAAUACCCCGCUGUUCUGACGGUACCCAAAGAAUAAGCAACGGCUAACUUCGUG